CGCGGCCUAUCAGCUUGUUGGUGAGGUAACGGCUCACCAAGGCAUCGACGGGUAGCUGGUCUGAGAGGACGAACAGCCACACUGGUACUGAGACACGGCCCAGACUCCUACGGGAGGCAGCAGUAGGGAAUCUUGCACAAUGGGCGAAAGCCUGAUGCAGCGACGCCGCGUGGGGGAUGAAGGCCUUCGGGUUGUAAACCCCUUUCAGUAGGGACGAAAAUGACGGUACCUACAGAAGAAGCACCGGCCAACUACGUGCCAGCAGCCGCGGUAACACGUAGGGUGCAAGCAUUGUCCGGAUUUAUUGGGCGUAAAGAGCUCGUAGGUGGUUCCGUAAGUCGGAUGUGAAAACUCAAGGCUCAACCUUGAGACGCCAUCCGAUACUGCGGUGACUUGAGUUCGGUAGAGUAGUGUGGAAUUCCUGGUGUAGCGGUGAAAUGCGCAGAUAUCAGGAGGAACACCGACAGCGAAGGCAGCACUCUGGGCCGAUACUGACACUGAGGAGCGAAAGCAUGGGGAGCAAACAGGAUUAGAUACCCUGGUAGUCCACGCCGUAAACGAUGAGUGCUAGGCGCCGGCGGUUUGACCCCGUCGGUGCCGAAGCUAACGCGUUAAGCACCCCGCCUGGGGAGUACGG
rnacentral:rRNA from 1 species